UGGAGGAGGAGAAUCCCUUACGUCGAUAAAUCUUUUGUCAAGUGUCUUCUUCAGCUCUGCAAGUGUUUCCAAACCACUUAUAUCUAUUGCUGUUACGGCUGUAUGGAUUUGGAGCUUAUGGUUAGUGUACAAAUAAUAGAUUAAAUUUCUCUGGGCCACUUGUACAGUAAACCUAUUUGUUAAUCUUAGGAUGAGUAUUUUCUGAUUAUAAUUCUACGUACCAGCCAUGUCCAGUAUAAUGCAUUUAAGGGAACUCUCAUUCAACUUUUUGAUUUUCUCUUCCUCUUCUCGAACCCAUCUCAAGAUCCUGCGCAUAAGAAUAACAAUACAUGUAACUUUUAUCAAGAACGAAUACAGCUGUGUUCAGAGAAUUUGAUCAUCAGUUGCUCUAUUAAUUAGUCACUAGCCGAAAGAGAUGCAAAUCUUGCACCUUGGGCAAUUAGAUGUAGACCAAUAUAGAUAAAAAAUAGGCCUGCUCUAAACUGGAAGUGCCUUCAGGUUCAGGUGUUUUUGGAUUCCCAAUCUCAAGCUAGCUUUAUAUCUAUUUCAAAGCAAUACUUAUGCUCUAAUUUUUACAGUUAGCAUUCUGCCCGUUUUUCAGUGACCAUUUAUUCAGCUAAAUCAUUUCAUUCUCUGGGUUAUAUUUGAUCCAUGAACUCUAAUAAGGCAAUUUAAGGUGUAGGUGAGUACUGUAAAGUUUUGUUGGCCCUUAUAUCUGGAUUACAAAGAUUCUGAAUAAUGGCAAGAUCUUGAAUGUGUUACCAAAUACUGACACCAGCCCAAACUAACCUUUCUUGCAGAUAUAUUGAAUUGGUGAAAUAGAUGGGGGAUUCAAUGCCAAGGAUUAGAAAUGAAGGCAGCUGUACAGCCUCCCUGUAUUGCGCCAGAUUUCUGUAACUGUUUGUUCCUGGGACAUUCCCCAUGAUCACUGUGUUUGGCCUAGUAACAUGAACCAGAAUUUUGAAUAAAGAUACGCCCACCUGCAAAACAUGGAAAGAUUAUAAAACAGCAAAUUUUGGCGUAGUUAAAGGUACAUAUCAUCGAACUGGAAUGCUUCCCUUGGUUUGUUAAAGCAGAAACUGCAGUAGAAUAAUGAAGAAUGCUUACAGCUAUGGCGAGGCCCGUCUGUACUGAGAUGAGAAGAACCCCAAAGAAAGCACUCAUACAAGCCAGGAAAUCAAAUUUAUCCACCUUCCACAGCAGAAAUGCACCUCGAACAUCGAUCAGUCCGAUCACUGCAACAAUAAUGAUCGCCGACAACAUGACGUUGGGAGUAUAAUAGAACAGUGGCAUGAGAAAUAG
rnacentral:lncRNA from 1 species